rnacentral:rRNA from 1 species
CAGUCGACGGUGAAGAGGAGCUUGCUCCUUGGAUCAGUGGCGAACGGGUGAGUAACACGUGAGCAAUCUGCCCUUGACUCUGGGAUAACUGCGGGAAACUGUAGCUAAUACCGGAUAUUACCUUGGAAGGCAUCUUCUGGGGUGGAAAGAAUUUUGGUCAAGGAUGAGCUCGCGGCCUAUCAGCUAGUUGGUGAGGUAAUGGCUCACCAAGGCGACGACGGGUAGCCGGCCUGAGAGGGUGACCGGCCACACUGGGACUGAGACACGGCCCAGACUCCUACGGGAGGCAGCAGUGGGGAAUAUUGCACAAUGGGCGCAAGCCUGAUGCAGCAACGCCGCGUGAGGGACGAAGGCCUUCGGGUUGUAAACCUCUUUUAGUAGGGAAGAAGCGACUGGGUUUUCCUGGAAGUGACGGUACCUGCAGAAAAAGCACCGGCUAACUACGUGCCAGCAGCCGCGGUAAUACGUAGGGUGCAAGCGUUGUCCGGAAUUAUUGGGCGUAAAGAGCUCGUAGGCGGUUUGUCGCGUCUGCUGUGAAAACCCGAGGCUCAACCUCGGGCCUGCAGUGGGUACGGGCAGACUAGAGUGCGGUAGGGGAGAUUGGAAUUCCUGGUGUAGCGGUGGAAUGCGCAGAUAUCAGGAGGAACACCAAUGGCGAAGGCAGAUCUCUGGGCCGUAACUGACGCUGAGGAGCGAAAGCAUGGGGAGC